rnacentral:rRNA from 1 species
CCUACGGGAGGCAGCAGUAGGGAAUCUUCCGCAAUGGGCGAAAGCCUGACGGAGCAACGCCGCGUGAGUGAUGAAGGUCUUCGGAUCGUAAAACUCUGUUAUUAGGGAAGAACAAAUGUGUAAGUAACUAUGCACGUCUUGACGGUACCUAAUCAGAAAGCCACGGCUAACUACGUGCCAGCAGCCGCGGUAAUACGUAGGUGGCAAGCGUUAUCCGGAAUUAUUGGGCGUAAAGCGCGCGUAGGCGGUUUUUUAAGUCUGAUGUGAAAGCCCACGGCUCAACCGUGGAGGGUCAUUGGAAACUGGAAAACUUGAGUGCAGAAGAGGAAAGUGGAAUUCCAUGUGUAGCGGUGAAAUGCGCAGAGAUAUGGAGGAACACCAGUGGCGAAGGCGACUUUCUGGUCUGUAACUGACGCUGAUGUGCGAAAGCGUGGGGAUCAAACAGGAUUAGAUACCCUGGUAGUCCACGCCGUAAACGAUGAGUGCUAAGUGUUAGGGGGUUUCCGCCCCUUAGUGCUGCAGCUAACGCAUUAAGCACUCC